rnacentral:rRNA from 1 species
CGGAACGUGCCCAGUCGUGGGGGAUAACUACGCGAAGCGUAGCUAAUACCGCAUACGAUCUAUGGAUGAAAGCGGGGGAUCGCAAGACCUCGCGCGAUUGGAGCGGCCGAUGGCAGAUUAGGUAGUUGGUGGGGUAAAGGCUCACCAAGCCGACGAUCUGUAGCUGGUCUGAGAGGACGACCAGCCACACUGGGACUGAGACACGGCCCAGACUCCUACGGGAGGCAGCAGUGGGGAAUUUUGGACAAUGGGCGCAAGCCUGAUCCAGCCAUGCCGCGUGCAGGAUGAAGGCCUUCGGGUUGUAAACUGCUUUUGUACGGAACGAAAAGUCUCUUUCUAAUAAAGAGGGAUCAUGACGGUACCGUAAGAAUAAGCACCGGCUAACUACGUGCCAGCAGCCGCGGUAAUACGUAGGGUGCAAGCGUUAAUCGGAAUUACUGGGCGUAAAGCGUGCGCAGGCGGUGAUGUAAGACAGUUGUGAAAUCCCCGGGCUCAACCUGGGAACUGCAUCUGUGACUGCAUCGCUGGAGUGCGGCAGAGGGGGAUGGAAUUCCGCGU